rnacentral:sRNA from 1 species
GAAUAACCCUGAUGGAAACGUCAUCCUUUUCUUGAGAUACAAUCGAAAGAAAAGAUAGAGUGCACAGCAGGAAAAUGG